AUCAUUCCUUAUAGGAAAAAUUGUAGCAGCGGUCCCAAGCAUUUAACUUUUUUGUGUACUUUGCCCUAAACUUCAUUUUGUGCUACCCAUAGCCCCAAACAUUUCAAAAAUAUGCAUCUAAGGUCCAAAUAGAUGGAAACCGUUUAUUUGACCAUUAGUUGAUCAAAAAGUCAAAAUUUAAUCAAUUUUGACCAAACUAAAAAAGGAAAAAUAGUAUAUUUACAUUUUUCCAAAUAUCAUUAACAAUUAAAACAAUUAAACUAAAAAAAAAAAAACAGAGAAUUCUUCUUCUUCUUCUUCCCAUAGGUGCAGGCACCACCACCACCCCAGACCCCUACCUUAACCAAACAUGUUGGCACCACCAUAGCCUACACGUCAGCAACUAAUCAGCCACGUCCCAAAGUCACUACAACUCCACAACCUUCAACCACUGUCAAAUUGUCAUUUCUUUGCUUUUCAACCAUCACCCAAACUAACCCAACCUGAUUUUUCAGGCUAAGAAAUGACAGCAAGCUUCUUAGCUCUAGAGGGCUUUGCAGACUUUGAUGCAAUUUCAUUCCCAGUGCCCUUAUCAUGUUGCUUCAUGAACCACUUUCUUAUAUCUGAUUGCAAAUCAAUGUGAAAUUCUAAUAAAUUCUCAUCGCAAAAUUCCACCCAAAGUUAAAAUAGAAGACAUAUCAUAAACAAUACUAACACAGAAAUGGGUUGAAACGAUAAACUACACCCAGCAUACAUAAUAAUGAGUUUAUAUGUGCUUUAAUUUAUCAAAUUACUACAAUUUCUAACUCACCAUUGUUUGGCCGUUGGCUUCAUGCUAUGACUGCUAGAACUCAAAAUACCUUCUAAAAAGAAAAAGAAAAUUCAUUAUUUACAUUUCUAGAUAAAUAACAGGAAAGAGUUAGAUUAUGACAAAUAAGAAGUAGAAAAAAUUUCCUAUGGAAAGGUUAAGGUUUAUGUUUCGAGGGGUUCUCAAAACGGGGGUUUUUGAACAAUAUUAUAUCCUUAAAGCCUCAAUAUGCCAUUGGCAGUAGCAGAGUCCUUAAAGCCCAAAAGCUUGUAACUUUUGGGUUCGAUUUAGUGGAGGCGGUGUUGGAGUUUGGAAAGAAUAGAAGUAAAAGGUGAUGGUUCGAUUUAGUAGAGGUGGUUUUGGUUUUUGGGUGGCGAUCGGUGGCUUUGGAUUAUGAUUUGGUUGGAGGGGUAGGGAUGGGGUGAAGGUGGGGACAGGGAAGAAGAUGAAGAUAAGGGUGCUUUCUUU
rnacentral:lncRNA from 1 species